GACCACAUCACGUUGAAAAACCAGUUCUCGAACGAUCACCGAAUUUAAGCAACGUCGAGCCUAGUCAGUACCUAGAUGGGUGACCGCUUGGGGAGACCAGGUGCUGUAAG